GAUGAGGGGGAUCCAAUCAUAUAUACUGGUUUUGUGUGGCUAAUGAUAUAAACAUCCAGAUGAGUUCCCAAACUGGUGAUGGUUAGGUCACAAGUCUUUAGAGCAGUCCAGCCAGUGUUGUGCGCUGAGUGUGUUUCCCAAUGUUCAGGAAUUGAAGCUCUCAAUCCCUGGCAUGUCUGAGUAAGACUAUGGCUGAGGAUUGGGUUUUUAAGUGGUGACUAAGUUUAAAUGAAUUGAUAUUGAUAUGGGUGGUAUAUUUCUAAGAAGGUGGAAGCUACGGAGGUGGCUCAGUGGGUAAAGUUACAUGCCACCAACACUGAAGACCCAAGUUCAAUUCCAAGGACCUAUGUGUAGAAGGGGAAAAACCAAACUCCUAUAAAUUGUGCUUUAACCAUCACAUGUGUGUCAUGGAACUCAUGUAUAUACACACAUAACACACUACAUAUACACACACAUGUGUGGGUGUGUGCAUGCACACAGACACAUACAUACAUUUAUAUACAUGCAUACACACACCACAUUACACACAUAAAUAAAUUAACAAAGAUGCCAUAAACGUUUUCAAAGAAGAAGAAACCAGGAUCUGAGUGCCAAGUGGCAGCCAUGUGAAGACAACCAUCUGGCCAACUGAGCUUAGGCUCUUCACUUAGAGAAAAUUACUAAAAUAAAUAGUGGUUGUUUGAGCCAGCCGAUGCUUUGUUACAGUCCUGUGCCAGCAAAUUCAUCACUGACCAGAUGCUGCCUGUAGGAGCAGAGGUAAAAGGACAGUGUGGUUGACUAUACGUUAGAUUACCUGAAACAGAGGAACAUGUAGCCUCUUCCUUUGUACCACCAAAGAAAAUAAGUGAAUAGGGUUACGAAUGCAGAAUUGAUGCGGGAAGCUGGUUGUCCACUAAAGAGCCCCCUGACAGACGUUGUAAUUACUAUCGAGCAUUCACUGAGACUAAAAGAAUUAAAUAUCUGUCAUUGUGCUAUGCUAAGAAUUCCAGAUAGAAAUACAACACACCACAUUGCUGGUCUCAUGGAACUUAAAUUAAAAAGUAUCCUAAUAAGUAGCCAGUCUUUAAUUGCACAUCAGCUCUCUCUGGGAACAAUGUGCUUUGAUAAUAUAGAAAAAUGUAACAGAGAGGAGAGAGAAAAUGCUAGUCUUUGUCUUUGAGGAACAGUAGUGGUAAAAGCUAAGGAAGAAUUCUCAAAGAUGAUUAUUAUAUUCACAUACGGAUUUUAAAAUGUUGAUGUUUCUCAUCUCGCUUCCCCCUGCCACCAUGUAUAAUAUCUCUUUCCCUUAUCUCCUUGGCAAGAGGAUGGAGGUACUGAAGUUGGGGGUGUGCCAGAACUAAAGGAUGCUUGGGAAUGCCAUGAGGGAGUGACAAGAAAAUGGUGGGAAAGAUAAUAUAUGAAAUAAAAUUCAAAAUUUACAGUCUUGACCUAUUUUGCAAUCAUGGAGUCUAUAUUUUCUGUGUUGCUUCAAGUUUUUAAAAUCAGUAUGUAUUGGUUUCAUAAUUAUGAAGAAAGAGGUAAAAGAAAGUCACAUUAAUGUAUAUAAUGUUUUUCCAGUUUAAUGGACUCCCACAUAAUGCACUUUAAUUUUUUAAAUAAGCUUGAAAAUAAAACACAAGAUUAUUCUGCAAUUUAAUUAUUAACCAUAGUUUAGAAGAAAGGUAAAUCCUUGGGUCAAAGAUGGACUGUGGUUUGAAAUAUAGCUUGUGGUAGCAUAAAAUCUGCCACAAAAUAGAUAGUUUAUUGGACCAUACAAAUGGAAAAAAGAAACUAUAAUUACUUAGGUCCUUCACAAUGAGUCUUAAAGAUACAGGAAAUCACUAUGCAAGAUUCUUGGCAAAGGAAGUGGCUCUUAACUUUGCUCUCUGCUAUUGUUUUAUCUUAUUCCUUUCACAAAAGUGGAGAAAGUUUUUGUUUAGCAGUUUUGUUGGCAACAUCUCAUACAUAAGUAAUUUGCCAUUGUUAACGAAUGUUGGAACAGAACACCAUCAAUUAAGGUUUUAAACGGUUAUCAAACAUGACAAGGGAUUUUGCAUGAACUCUGAGGUGAAGGAUGUAGCAUGAGGAAAACAUCACUGGUGCUGAGAAACACCCUAAACAGACAGGAAACUUCCCAAUGAGUUUCCUCUGUAAGGUGACGUACAUACCUGACUCUGGUAUUGGGCUAUGGCUACAGGUAGAGAUAUACAACUUUCUCCCAGGACUCUGGGAUAUUAGGAGGACUCAAAGAAAUCCCAAUAGCUUUGAGAAGGAGUCUGAUGCCAAAACAGGUUUCCAUUUUCAGGCUCUCCUUUUAGUGGGUGUUUAUUGACAUGCCAUGCAACGCAUCUACCUCCUAUGGCACUGUCUUCUCUGCUAUC
rnacentral:lncRNA from 1 species